AUACGGAGGAUGCGAGCGUUAUCCGGACUUAUUGGGUUUAAAGGGAGCGGAGGCGGGAUAUUAAGUCAGCUGUGAAAGUUUGGGGCUCAACCUUAAAAUUGCAGUUGAUACUGGUUUCCUUGAGUACGGUACAGGUGAGCGGAAUUCGUGGUGGAGCGGUGAAAUGCUUAGAUAUCACGAAGAACUCCGAUCGCGAAGGCAGCUCACCGGGCCGUAACUGACACUGAUGCUCGAAAGUGCGGGUAUCAAACAGGAUUAGAUACCCUGGUAGUCCGCACAGUAAACGAUGAAUACUCGCUGUUUGCGAUACACUGUAAGCGGCCAAGCGAAAGCGUUAAGUAUUCCACCUGGGGAGUACGGCGGCAACGGUGAAACUCAAAUGAAUUGACGGGG
rnacentral:rRNA from 1 species